GAUGAACGCUGGCGGCGUGCCUAAUACAUGCAAGUCGAGCGAAGCGGGGACGGGUGAGUAACACGUGGAUAACCUCCUAUAAGACUGGGAUAACUUCGGGAAACCGGAGCUAAACCGGAUACGUAUAGAUGGAGCCGCGCUGCAUUAGCUAGUGGGUAAUGUAACGGCUUACCAAGGCAACGAGGCAUAGCCGACCUGAGAGGGUUAUCGGCCACACUGGACCUGAGGCACUGUCCAGACUCCUACGGGCGGCAGCGGUAGGGAAUCUUCCGCAAUGGGCGAAAUCCUGACGGAGCACCGCCGCGUGAGUGAUGAAGGUUUUCGGAUCGUAGAACUCUGUUCUUAGGUAAGCGGUACCUAAUCAGAAAGCCACGGCUAACUACGUGCCAGCAGCCGCGGUAAUUC
rnacentral:rRNA from 1 species